UCAGUGUGGGUUCAUUUGAAUUAACGGAAGGGAGUUGGCUCAGGCAAGUUUACACAUACAUGUAUAGCAGCGUUGUGGUUUAACUGUGUCUUCCGAUCCAUAUGGGGACAUCUCACCCCCUUAUUAAAAUGGGAUAAAUGUCAUGUAAAGCCCAGGCGAUCUGAAUCCUACGCUUAAAUGAUAUUUCCUUGGUGUUUCAAUCGUGUCCUUCGGACAGGAGUUAUAUUUACGCACACAUAUAUAUAAGUGGAUGUUUUCUCGUAUUUCAGGUGGACAGUUCAAAAAAAUUGGCCAAGGUAUUGACAGGGAACAGCGACGUUGUCAAUGACAACGCCUCUUCCUGUGAUCGAGAUGACGUCGUGCCUUACAGCUGUGUGUUAAUUCAGUACCCCGACAAGGACUUCAGCCCGAGCGACGAGAAAGUCAUCGAACAUUAUAACAAACUGAUGUGUAGCAAUAACUUCCCCACGCCUGUCAUUGAAAUACCAGUUUGACCAUGCCCUGAAAAAUCUCCGGAAAUGCUCCUAAACCAGGAUCCAAACCCCUGAGUGGCAUAACCUGUCUUCUGUUUGGGCUGACCAGUUACGAUCUGACCGACCGUAAGGUCAGCACUGGCCACAGCCACGAGGUCUGCCGGACAACCAAUCAUCCGUGAAAACAGUUCACCUGACAAUAUCGGCCAUGCAUCAAAUCACCGAUCAGCAGUGACCCAGGUCAGAAAACGGCAGUACAGACCGCACAUACCUGCCCGAGAAUUACACAAAAAAAACCAGCCCAAUCGGAUCUGGAAGCUUCGCUGACAUAGAUAAAAGAAGUGUCAUGCUGAAGCAAAAGGUCACGAGGGCGGGCGGACCGAAGACAAAAAAGCCUCCAUUGUCAGGAAAGAUCCAGGCACGUCUGGUCUGAAACAUAUGACGUCAUAUAGAAUGAUGACACGUGCAUGAGAAAAAAUGACGUAACACCUGGUGUUACAUGUACAUGGGGCACAGUUAUUGGCAUGGCAACAAGGUACAUAGUGCUAAUGGUACAGUCUAGCCCAGUUCAUGGCGCGGUGCUUAAUUAACAGCGUCCGAGGCAUAUGUCCAAUUUGGCUUUAAGUGUCAUAACAACGGACAAAAGCAAAUACCACAACCAACAAACAGCACAGACGAACACAACACGCAUGUACACUGGCAUAUACAUUCUCAAUGAGCUUAACAAGCGAGAUUUCUAUCAGUUAUGCCUGUUUUUAUUUGAGUGAAUUAUGCAUUAUUAUUUGUAUAUGUACCUUAUUGUGUUUGCUCAGUAGAUAUUGUCUUUGGGUUUAAUAGCAGUCAUUUAUCGCAAGCUGCGUUUUGCCGAUUUUCAGUCUUGUAAGUUUGCUUUAUUUAGAGUAUACGCU